rnacentral:lncRNA from 1 species
AUGAAAUUGGAUUUGCUACAUUGUUUUCCUAGAAACAAUUGUGAAAUGUUCUACUGGAAAUAAUCUCAAGAUUAUUUUAUUGUAUAUGCUAUUGGCCUUCUAUGCUUCUAUGUAAGAAUACUAGGGAAAGUAUAAUUUAUUUUGUUAUGUUUGUGGACAAUGGCAGCUCUAUUCCAUUUAUACCACUUGUUUGUUCAUUUCACUAUUACUUGAAUUUUAUUACACUGAUUUUAGCAUGUUGUAAAAUUAGGAAAAUAAUUUCCAUUUAGGCUUGUUUCCUGAUCUCCUAACUUUGAAGGUUUUAUUAUUUUUUUGGAUUUUGUUUCCUUUGUGAUUACUUUUCCCAUUUCCCAGCAGGAGUUUUGGAGGAAUUAUUUAGUAUUUCUGCAGAAACCUGACACAAUUGAGAGUUUCUAUAGCAACAAUGCAGAAGGAUAGUGCAGGAAGGAAAACAUUAGGCCUUCUUUUGUGUCUUUUCUUUGAGGAGAAUGCUAUGAACUUAACUAGACCUGUCUGAGCAUGGGUGGAAGGUUACUUACUGGAUUCUGGGAAACUCGUAACUGGUUCCACCACCCUUCCACCACAUGUUAUUAGUUUUCAAUAGACAUUCUGGGAAGGUCCCAAACUCAGGCACACCUUCUGAGCUGUGAUGAAUUGUUGGCCUCUGAGUCUCCUGAGGCAUUGUGCCAAUGACCAGGGUAGUAUGGUCAGGACCAGAAGUUUCUUCCCUGCAUUCUUCCUCAAACUGCCUCUGGCUCUUCUAUUCUUUCAACUGUAUCUCCAAAGAUGUUCCUGUGACCUGGACAGGUUUGUGAGGAGAAAAGUACGGGGGAUCAGAAUAAAGCAGAUAGAAAAGAUUGGCUCAAGGGUCCUUACAUGAUCUGUGUCUUAUGACAAGAAAGUUUAUUAGUGCCUUCAUCCAGUAGCUGAUGGAAGCAGACACAGACACCCACAGCUGAACUCUGGAAUCCAGUUGCAGAGAGGGAGGAGUGAUGAGUAAAGGGGUCAAGACCAGGCUGGCGAAACCCACAGAAACAGAUGACCUGAACAACGGUCAUAGCCCCCAGACUGAUAGCAGGGAAACCAGCAUAGGACUGAUCCAGAACCUGAAUGAGGAUGUCAGUUUGGAGGUCUGGUUAAUCUAUGGAACCUCUGGUAUUGGCUCAGUAUUUAUUCCCAGUACGUGAAUGGACUUUGGGAUCCCAAUCCACAUAGGAGGGAUACUCAUUCAGCCUAGACACACUGGGGAGGGCCUAGGCCUUGCUCCAAAUGAAAUGACAGACUUUGAAGAUCCCACAUGGAAGGCCUCACCCUCCCUGGGGAGCAGAAAAGGGAUGGGAUAGGGAGUUGAUGGGGGGGCAGUGGAGGAGGGGAGGAAGAGGGAACUGGGAUUGACAUGUAAAAGAAGCUUGUUUCCAAUUUAAAUAAAAAGAAUACUAUACUGUACACAGUUUUUCAUGAAAGUAAAAAUGGGAGUCCUCAAAGCCUAUCAUAUAAUGGGAUGGAGUCAAUGAGAAUCUACUCAGUCCAUUUUGUACAAGGGGAGCACAGGAUAUCUCCAAUGCACUGGAGGCCAAGCAUACAGCAGGCUUGGAACAGAUAAUCCCAACACCUUAUGAUGAGAAGACUUGGGUUCUAAGAGCAAAAAGAUAAAACUCCCUCCUGAAGUCCCUUGCCUCCAAUUCUUGGCUCUGCCAAGCAUAUUCCAGGUUUUAGAAGAGGGACUGUAUUCUUUCUCUAUACACUGGGGCCUCAAGGAAAGCUUUAGGUUGAUAUAAUAUCACGGAUUUAUGAGCCAAGGAGAAGAAGAUUCACCGAUGAGCAUAUUACCUUCAACUUAAGCAAGUAUUUAUCAAUAAAUUUUCCAUUGGAGCUUUUUUUUUUUUUGGAAAACUACAGUUGUGUCCCCUAUGGUGACCAUGAUUGAUCACACUGUGUUCCUCACCAGGUUUCAGAAACCAAUAUUAAUGCUGGCUUUGGAGGGAGCCUUAUAUCCAAUCAGACAAUGGUUGACUGUAGGAAUUAUUCAUCUGUUAUUUCAUAAACCACCAUAAGCAUGAUAACAUACGUAAGAAAGAGCUUGCUGUGGUUAAUUCUUCUAGAGGGAUACGAAUGCAUGCGGGCAGAGAGGUUGGACCAUAAACAGCCAUGUUGAUGCAAUAGAAAACUGAGAUGACAUCUGCAACCACAGUCCCUAAGGAGGGAGACAGAAGAAAGGUAGCUAGGAGAGCCUUCUCCCAGUGAUGUAUUUAAUAAUAUGCCAGCAAUAAAAUUUCCCCAAAUUCUUUGAACAACUAGACUUUGAGUUCAAAACAUGUUUAUGGGAGACAUUCUCAUUCUAACUAGGACAGUCCAACUCCUAAUAUUAAUGCCACCAUUCUAUCAAAGGGCAUACUUUAGAGGAGUUCCAUGUCAAUGUAGAAAGUAGAC